AACAUUACAUCCGGAGCCAACUUCUCAGCUCCUAAAAUAAUGGGAUGUGAACUUGCCAAGUAGGUACCUUCAGGCGGACCUACUAUCUGAUUUAGCUUAUUGUUUCUGGGCUGGAAACCUGUAUUGCAUGUACCAAUUCUGUCUUUCAUUAAUUUUCCUAUGUUCUUGUUAUUCUUGGCGCUGUUCAACACUAAGCAUUCCUCCGGUAUAACCAACUCUUGCCUGUAUUUAACAUCACACAAGGACUCGUCAUAAGCGCUGCUUGCAUACGAGUAUAACGGAAGAAUAAUAAUAAUAAUAAUCUGUAUUGUUCACAGAUUGAUUUUGUGGUGAUUCUGUGGUAAUAUUCUGAGUUAAUUGAGACUCAAUGAAAGUAUCUUCACAAAUCUGCACUUCCAACUUGUUGAGCUGCUGUUGUGCAUGCAGAAUAGCUAAUUGCUGCUCUCAUUCACAGAUUUGAUCAUUCAACUGUUGCAAACAUACAUUGUGAUCAUUGAAGGCAG
rnacentral:sRNA from 1 species